AGGUGCUUGCCUUAGAGCAAGGGAAACAGCUCUGAUUCAAAGGAACUAGAAGCCUCUCCCUCAGUGGUAGGGAGAGAGCCAGGAGCGGUUUUCUGGGGAACUGUGGGAUGUGCCCUUGGGGGCCCCAGAAAACAGAAGGAAGAUGCUGCAGACCAGUAACUACAGCCUGGUGCUCUCUCUGCAGUUCCUCCUGCUGUCCUAUGACCUUUUUGUCAAUUCCUUCUCAGAACUGCUCCGAAAGGCUCCUGUCAUCCAGCUUGUGCUCUUCAUCAUCCAGGAUAUUGCAGUCCUCUUCAACAUCAUCAUCAUUUUCCUCAUGUUCUUCAACACCUUCGUCUUCCAGGCUGGCCUGGUCAACCUCCUAUUCCAUAAAUUCAAAGGGACCAUCAUCCUGACAGCUGUGUACUUUGCCCUCAGCAUCUCCCUUCAUGUCUGGAUCAUGAACUUACGCUGGAAAAACUCCAACAGCUUCAUAUGGACAGAUGGACUUCAAACGCUGUUUGUAUUCCAGAGACUAGUCUUGCUCUGUCGCCCAGGCUGGAGUGCUGUG
rnacentral:sRNA from 1 species